AUUCGGUACCAUGACUGCAGUCAUUUUAGUCUGUAACAGACUGAAACAAACUUGUAUCUAGGAACGACUGUAGAAAGAAUAGCCUAAUUACUAGUAUUUGGUGGCAGAUCAAAAUCAGAGCUUCCUUGUGGUUAUGUGAACAUUCAGUGCAUUUAUCGUUAACAUGGCAAUUACAACGCAAACCUUCCAACUAAUACGUGCCUUGCACUCUUACAUGGACUGCUAUUCAGGAACAAAUACUACUGGUUGCACGGCUUCUUCUUGGACUUGUGUGCAGGAAGCCAGCCCGUGCCUGAUCCUGCAGGGAAUCAUGUGGACCACCAUUCGGUUGCAACUACUGAUACAGAUCUUACCAAUCAGCUGGUGUACAAUGCAGUAAUAAUGGUACCCAUUGUCCAGCCAGCAAGCAUGUUCCCCCGGCCUCUUUUCUUCUCUGCUGCUCACUAUUCAUGCUUUUCAGACUGAAUGUACCAGGCAGAAUAGUUUUCUGAAAAUGCAAAAGCAAAUCAGAUUCAAGCCACAUAUAUUAUACCACUUGACAGCCAAGCUUUCUCAUUUAGACCCCACAGGGGAUAGGACAAGAUACUGCAUAAAGCAAGUGUGAUUUCACCUAACCUACCCUUUCUUUUGGUCUUUGGAGCCACUCAUUUGUUGCUAUGCUUAAAGAAGGAAUGCAGAAAGGGCCUAUGAUUUAGCACCGAGUAGGUUCAUUUUAAGAUACUAACCAAAUUAGGCCUUGUUUAGAUGCAAAAAGUUUUUGAAUUUUGAUACUGUAGCAUUUUCGUUUUUAUUUGACAAAUAUUGUUUAAUUAUGGAGUAACUAGGCUUAAAAGAUUCGUCUCGUGAUUUACAGAUAAACUGUGCAAUUAGUUAUUCUUUUUAUCUAUAUUUAAUACUUCAUGCAUGUGCCGUAAGAUUCGAUGUGACGGAGAAUCUUGUAAAGUUUUGGGUUUUUGGGUGUAUUUAAACAAGGCGUAAAGAUAGAAUGUGUUGAUUUAUGAUAUUGCCUCUAGGCACCUGCAUAAAAUUAAAUAAUCAUAGUGCCCCCCAAACAAUUGCUAUAGUGAGGAUCUGCCCUACUCUUUUUUGGGUGGAAAGUAUGGAAAGAAAGGCAAACAAAAGGCAAGGCUAAUCAUAGAUGGUGUUUGCACAACUCAACGUUUUUCAGCAGAUUUUUUUAAAGGAAUUCACACCGCACUGUCUUCAAAAGAGACACAUUCGUAUCUCACUUAUUUAGUUAUUUUUGUUGAUGCACUGAUAGGCCAAUAUGAUGGCCCCUUUGAUGUCAUGUUCACACAUUUGGGCAAAAGUCUGCAGUGGUUGGCUCUGAAUUACUGAAUUAAUCUGAAGUAUGCACACAUGUGACUUGUGCAAAAUAUGUAGCUUUCCAGUGUAUUCUUAAAAAAAAGAAGAGCGAGUAACUGUGUAGCUCAAAAUAGAAUGCUCAAUUUACUCUAGGUUUAUAUAGAUAGGCCAAAUUGAUCAUGAUAAAUUCCCCCUUUUAAUAUGAAUCCUGCCACACAAUAAAAAAGGACCACAAACCGUAUCGUGUCCCUCACAGCAAUGCUUCAUAUUUAGGUAGGGAGAAGGGGACCGCGUCAAACAUAAAUUAUUCACUAAUGUACUGUGUUGGACAGAACGGGCAAUUUGCAGAGAUAAUUCCUUCUUAAGAAUUCUGGAAAGCUGAAAGUGUUAGUUCUCAGGGAAACAACGACAGUGCACAUAUUGGUUUACUAGAGUAUAACCACUUAACCAGAAAUAGAGGAUUAUGAUGAUUUGAAUUCGAACAAUAGUGAUCUUUGCAUUCAGGCGCUUAACUAAAAGCUUUAGAUUAAUCAUCAUUCAUGCUAGGCAAGGAUGCUGCUGGCCAUCAGCCUAUCACCCUUUUGUUGCUUGAGAUGCACUCAGUAGUGUUUCAGUCCUUUGUUUAUUCGCAUGCUACAGUCCUAUCUAUAAUGGUUGGUGUGGGUGGAUUGGUACAGCCCACUUCUACAUUCUGAUAUUCUAACGUUUUUUAUUUAUUUAUUUUUUGUUUUUUGUGGAAAAUAAUACUAGUGACAUGUAGAUAAUAUCUGGAACACACAUGAUACUCAUUUACAGACCAUUUUGCAAAUUCAGACACGACAACUGUAGUACACCGAUGUAUACACAAAAACUUUCUAUUUCUGAUUUCCGUACAAGGGCUAUCCUAACUACUUUGACCUGCAAAAAAAUUUCAUCUCUACAACAACUUCCAAAUAGUCCGACACUGCCCCCCUUUUUUGUGGUUAGCCCAAGGGUCAGUGUUCAGGUUUCUUGAGUAUCACUACUUUUUCUAUAGCUGGACCAUAUAGCCAUGUGCAGGUGUGUGCUGCUCCCAUUGCCAACGUAGAGGCUCGAUAGGUGACCAUAAAAGAGGAGAGCUAAGUACCAUGGUUCCUGAAGAAAGAAUGAAGACAGAGGCCACUCACAAGGCAAUAGCAACAGGUGGCAAGAUGACGGUGCUCCAUUCUCCAGUUGGAGUGAGGAGCAUCGUGACCUCCUUGGUGGCUUUCUUCAUCUUGGCUAGCUCCAUCGUCUUCCUCCUU
rnacentral:lncRNA from 1 species